GCUGACAUGGACACUAUAUAAACAGGCCAGUCGGGAUACCACUGGAGUAUACAGAGAACUAAUUGCUCCACACAGCCCCGAGUGACAAGAUGAAGGAAGGGACGAUGCUUGUGAUUGCUGCGAUGGCACUGUGUAUGUUGAUGACAGUGCAGUCUCAAGGGACACGGCAAGCAGCGACAGGACGUCAGCCUCCAGUGGGGAUGUAUCCUGGAAGCUUUGGUCCCCUGGACUCGUUCAUGCGACGAGGCAACUACAUGAGACCGCAGCAGCAGUAUCGCCCACCGCCACAGGCUCCAAUGAUACCAUGGUGGUUACUGGCAGACAUGGACUUCUCCUUCUGAAGCAACUGUGUCUCUUCCCUUUAGCAACUUGUAUUCUCUGCAUCAGAUAGGAUGUGUUUCAUGGGUCAAUUGUAGUGACGUGAUGACAAAACUCCGUAUCGAUGAAUAAAGACAAAUACAGUUGA